rnacentral:rRNA from 1 species
UCAAUAAGCGGAGGAAAAGAAACUAACAAGGAUUCCCCUAGUAACUGCGAGUGAAGCGGGAAAAGCUCAAAUUUAAAAUCUGGCGGUCUUUGGCCGUCCGAGUUGUAAUCUAGAGAAGUGUUAUCCGCGCUGGACCGUGUACAAGUCUCCUGGAAUGGAGCGUCAUAGAGGGUGAGAAUCCCGUCUUUGACACGGACUGCCAGGGCUUUGUGAUGCGCUCUCAAAGAGUCGAGUUGUUUGGGAAUGCAGCUCAAAAUGGGUGGUAAAUUCCAUCUAAAGCUAAAUAUUGGCGAGAGACCGAUAGCGAACAAGUACCGUGAGGGAAAGAUGAAAAGAACUUUGGAAAGAGAGUUAAACAGUACGUGAAAUUGCUGAAAGGGAAACGCUUGAAGUCAGUCGCAUUGUCUGGGAAUCAACCUUGCUUUUGCUGGGCGUACUUUCCAGAUGAUGGGUCAGCAUCAAUUUUGACCGUUGGAUAAAGUUCAGAGGAAUGUGGCAUCUUCGGGUGUGUUAUAGCCUUUGUUCGCAUACAACGGUUGGGAUUGAGGAACUCAGCACGCCGAAAGGCCGGGUACUUGUACCACGUUCGUGCUUAGGAUGCUGGCAUAAUGGCUUUAAUCGACCCGUCUUGAA